GUCUCCCUCUCCCCCACGCUGGUUCCGCGUCUCCUCAGAACCGUGCCUCCGCCUGGUCUGAGGUGUCUCGCGUGUGGGGGCAGUCUGGGCUGUCGCCGCCGCCGCGAUGGGCAAAACUGCCGACUGUCGGGGCCCGGAAGGCCGGCCCGACCCGGUGCGGAGCUUCAACCGUUGGAAGAAGAAACACAGCCACAAGCAGAGCCAAAAGAAGCAGUUGAGGAAGCAGCUGAAGAAGCCCGAGUGGCAGGUGGAGCGCGAGAGUAUCAGCCGCCUCAUGCAGAACUACGAGAAGAUAAAUGUAAAUGAAAUUACAAGAUUUUCAGAUUUCCCUUUGUCCAAAAAAACAUUAAAAGGUUUGCAAGAAGCCCAGUACCGUUUGGUAACUGAGAUACAGAAGCAGACUAUUGGAUUGGCUUUGCAAGGGAAAGAUGUUCUUGGAGCUGCCAAGACAGGAUCUGGCAAGACUUUGGCUUUCCUUGUUCCAGUGUUGGAAGCCUUAUAUCGUUUGCAGUGGACGUCAACAGACGGGCUGGGGGUUCUGAUUAUAUCACCCACAAGAGAACUGGCCUAUCAGACUUUUGAGGUUCUCCGAAAAGUAGGAAAGAAUCAUGACUUUUCGGCUGGUCUCAUCAUUGGUGGAAAGGAUCUGAAACAUGAAGCUGAGAGGAUCAAUAACAUAAAUAUACUUGUUUGUACUCCGGGUCGGCUUCUUCAACACAUGGAUGAAACAAUAUGUUUUCAUGCUACCAAUCUCCAAAUGUUAGUUCUUGAUGAAGCAGAUAGAAUCUUGGAUAUGGGCUUUGCUGAUACCAUGAAUGCUAUUAUUGAAAAUCUUCCCAAGAAACGUCAGACUUUGCUUUUCUCAGCUACCCAAACCAAAUCUGUAAAGGACCUUGCACGCUUGAGUUUGAAAAACCCUGAGUAUGUCUGGGUUCAUGAAAAAGCAAAAUACAGCACCCCUGCCACUUUGGAACAGAACUACAUAGUUUGCGAGCUGCAGCAAAAAAUAAGUGUGUUGUAUUCCUUUUUGAGAAGCCACCUGAAGAAGAAAAGUAUUGUAUUUUUCUCCAGUUGUAAAGAGGUCCAGUACCUGUACCGGGUGUUCUGUCGGCUACGUCCUGGGAUCUCUAUCCUUGCGCUGCACGGCCGGCAGCAGCAGAUGAGAAGGAUGGAGGUCUACAAUGAAUUCGUCCGCAAGAAGGCUGCAGUCCUCUUUGCUACUGACAUUGCAGCCAGGGGGCUGGAUUUCCCAGCUGUGAAUUGGGUUCUUCAGUUUGAUUGUCCAGAGGAUGCCAACACAUACAUUCACCGAGCAGGUAGAACUGCCAGGUACAAAGAGGAUGGUGAAGCUUUAUUAAUUUUACUUCCCUCCGAAGAAAAAGGGAUGGUGCAGCAGCUUCUCCAGAAGAAAGUGCCUGUGAAGGAAAUCAGAAUUAAUCCAGAAAAACUUAUAGACGUCCAGAAAAAAUUGGAAUCAUUUUUAGCACAAGAUCAAGAUUUAAAAGAAAGAGCUCAAAGGUGUUUUGUCUCCUAUAUACGCUCAGUGUAUCUGAUGAAGGAUAAAGAAAUAUUUGAUGUGAGCAAGUUACCUAUACCUGAAUAUGCCCUAUCUCUUGGUCUUGCUGUGGCACCUCGGGUAAGAUUUCUUCAGAAAAUGCAGAAACAACCCCCCAAAGAAUUGGUGGUGAGCCAAGAUCACAAACAAAUUGAGCCAAGGGCUCCCUCCCUCACCAAUGAUGAAGUAGAAGAAUUUAGAGCCUACUUCAAUGAGAAAAUGUCCAUCCUUCAGAAAGGUGGGAAAAGACCAGAAGAGACAGAAUACACACCGGGUAAGGGGAUUAGUGAUGAAGAGGAAGAAGAGAAGGAAGAUGAGGAAGAAAUGGAAGAGAAACUGGCAAAAGCAAAAGAGUCUCCACUUCAGUCUGUCCCUAGCACUGGGGAGUCCAAGGAAGCCCCUGGGCAGUUCUUAGACAGAGAUGAGGACGAGGACGAUGGACACGAUGGUGAUUUCUUUACAGUGAAGCGGCACAAUGUGUUUGGGUUGGACCUUAAAGAGAAUAAAACACCACAGAAGAAAGAACCUUCUAAAUCCAGUGUCAAGAAGAAAGUGACCAAGGUCGCAGAAGCAAAAAAAGUAAUGAAGAGAAAUUUUAAAGUGAAUAAGAAGAUAACAUUUACUGAGGAAGGGGAGUCGGUUCAGCAGUGGCCUCAGAUGCAGAAGUCUGUCUCCAAGGAUGCCGAAGAGGAGGAGGACAGCACUGGGGGCAUCAACUUAGAUAAAGCAAAGGAAAGGCUUCAAGAAGAGGACAAAUUUGACAAAGAAGAGUAUAGGAAGAAGAUCAGGGCAAAGCAUCGGGAGAAAAGACUGAAGGAAAGGGAAGCCAGAAGAGAAGCCAGUAAGAGACAAGCAAAGGCCAGAGAUGAAGAGGAAGCUUUUCUGGAUUGGAGUGAUGAUGAUGAUGAUGAUGGAUUUGAUCCAAGCACACUUCCAGAUCCAGAUAAGUACAAAAGCUCUGAAGAAUCGGACAGUGACGAUACGGAGAAUAAAAUUAGCCCAGUCGUGGCUCCACCCUCACACGUACUCCUGCCAGAGGAGAUUCCUGGGCUCCUUCUCAUCUCGUGUCUUCCAACCACGUGUGUGUCGUGACCGAGAUGCUAGUUGGUUUCAGGCGAGUGAUGAAGAUAGGAAACAGCUGCUAUUGUAGCCCAGCGCGUCGCAGCUCCCUGGAAAGAGUAAUACAAGCUUGUUACAGAAAAAUGAGAAGAUACAUAUACCAGAAAAAAAAAAUAAUCUAAAAAAAUCUUCCGGCUCUUUUUCUCUGCAAACAUGCAUACAAGCCUUUGUUAAAGAUGGACUCUUGUUCUGUAUUGGUUUUGUAACUGUUUUCAGUGUCAAUAAAGAAAUUCCUGCAACAUUGUUUUUAAUUGCUGCAUAGUGUUUUCAUUUUUAAUUUUAUAACUUAUUUCACAAAUGAGUCCCUUAUGAUUGGAUGUUUGGGUUUUCAACUUUCUGAGAUUACAUAUAGUUUUGCCUUCAGUGUUCUGUAACUAAAUCUUUAUACACAUCCUUAAUUAUUUCUUUGGGAUAAAUUCUCAGAAGAGAAAUUGCUGGGUAGGCAUACUUGAAAGACUUUUGAAAGGUGCCACCAGAUUGCCCUCCAGAAAGCUUAGUAGUAAUCUGUAUUCCUACCCAGGAGUUUUUACAUUCUAAUUAGGAGUUAUGAUGCAUACAGGUGAAAAAAAAAUCAUUUUAGUGUUAGAAAGUAGUAAUGCUAAGUGCAAAAUUACUAAUCAACAAUUAGAGUUGUAGGCAUUCAGAGGAAAGAGAUCAUUUUUAAUAAGGGAGUUUGGGUACCUUUCAUGGAAGAUGAGAAAUUGAAGAUGGUUUUUUUGUUUUGUUUUGUUUUUUAUGUUUGUUUUAUUUUUGAGAGAGAGAGAGCACAAGCAGGGGCGGGACAGAGAGAGAGGGAGACACAGACUCCGAAGCAGGCUCCAGGCUCUGAGCUGUCAGUACAGAGCCCAACGUGCGGUUCGAACCCCCAAACUGUGAGAUCAUGACCUGAAUCAAAGUCGGCACUCAAUCAACUGAGCCAUCCGGGAGCCCCUAGAAGUUGAAGAUGGUUCUUGAAGCAAGGGAGGGAUGAACAGGAGGGAGGUACCCCAUUGACAAGAAGGGCACAGGCGGGACGUACAAGAGGGCUGUCUGAUCUAAACAAGGGCUACAUUUGAAGAGUCCAGGAAGAGGGGCCAGGAGGAAGGUUGACCUCAUCAGGUUAACUCCAGGUGUUCCUCCCUCUUUUGUUUCUCAUGAAUGUACUUAAUACAGGCUAUACUCAUUCUGGGUGACUAGGCAGCUACAAGUACCUGAAAAAGUUAAAAUGUGGAAACCAGGAAAUCAAACCUACUGUAAAAUCUGUUCAGUUUCUGGGAGAAUUGAGUUUUGGGUUUAGAAAACUUAGAAAAUAAGAAAGUUAUAUUCCAUUUAAAACUCAAUAAUGUAUUUAUUAACAUGUUAAAGUUGAGUUCACAUUUCAGUGUUAAAUCCUUUUUUCUUAUUAUCAGUGAAUAAAUUGGUUUACAUGUUUACAUUGGGUAUUGUGAUGUGCUUCCAUGUAAUCAUUUUCACUUAAAUUUCAAAGCCAUUGAAGUAACAUUUCCCUGUUAUUGUUGGUUCAGAUUACAUAUUACAACAUGAUAUUUUUCUUUGUGUUUUGUUGUAUGAUUAGUUCUUUAAAUGACACAUCAGACAUUACUAAUUAAGCCUCUCUAUUAAUUGGAUUAUUGAAAGAUAAAUAGUUCUGAAUUAUUUUGCUUUGGUGGUUUUGUGUUGAGAACUAUAGUGGGGCUUUUAGUGCCCUGAGCCAUACUUUUGCUUUUUAAGCUGUGUUAUAUCAGCCAAUAUAUUGUACUGUUACAAUGUUGACCAGUGAGAUGGCCCUUUUUGACACUGAGUUCAUAGACUUGAAGUAUGUGGAGAUAGUUUGACACUUUAUGUCCCAUAGAAAUACUGAAAUAAAAAUAAAAUGCAGAGCUCAGGCCCAGACUCUUGGCCCUGUUUUGUAGGCCACCUCCUAGUUGUCAGUUCAUACUGUGAGCUUCCUUACCUCCUUCAGUCCAGUGGAGUAAACUUACUCGGAGAAGAAGAUUCACAGGUGUUACUGCUGUCUCUCACCUGUAUUGUGGUUCUUCCUUCCAGCAGACCUGUUUUCAUAAUGUCCCACCAUGUGAUUGGUAAACUGUAUCAAUGAUGUGCUACCACAGGUCAGCUAACAGAACUCUUGGUUGGGAGGCACAAGAGCCCCAUCCAGCAAUUGCAGAUAAUAGUUAAAGAACCAAGAAACUAGAACUAACUCACUGUUACAUGCAGUAUUAGGCUGUCGACCAAUCCUAAGGACAUCCGAGGUCUUAAUUAGAUUCAAUAACUCCCCAGGGAACAUUAACUCUACAGGGUCAGAACCCUUCCACUUGAUUUAUCAGGAUGUAAAUAAAAUAGAGGUUUCUAGUGCCACGCAAUUUCCCCCAGCUUUAUUGAGAUAUAGUUGACAUAGAACAUUAUGUAAGUGUAAGGUAUACAGCAUGUUAUUUGAUAUACUUAUAUAUGUUGUGAAAUGAUUUUCACCCUAGUAUUAGCAAACCCUCUAUAGCAUUACAUAGGUGUGUGUGUGUGUGUGUGUGUGUGUGUGUGUGUGUGAGAGAGAGAGAGAGAGAGAGAGAGAGAGAGAGAGAUGAUAACAUUAACCAUUUACUAUCUUAGCAACUUUCAAGUAUCUGAUAAAAUAUUGCUAACUAUAAUCACCAUGUUGUACAUUAGAUCCCCAGAACUUACCUUAAAACUGGAACUUUGUACCUUUGACCAGCAUCUCCCCAUUUCCCCUACCCCUCGGCCUCUGGUAACUACCAUUCUAGUGUCUGGUUUCUGUGUUCACCUUUUUUUAGAUUCCACGUAGAAGUGGUAUCAUACAGAUUUCAUCUUUCUCUGUCUUUUAUUUCACUUAACGUGAUGCCCUCAAGGUCCAUCCAUUUUAUUGCAGAUGGCAGGAUAUCCUUUUUUCUCAUGGUUGAAUAAUAUCCCAUUGUGUAUAUAUAAUAUGCUAUAUCAUCUAUCCAUGACACUUAGGUUGUGUCCAUUUCCUGCCAGUUGUGAAUAAUGUUGAAAUGAACACGAAGAUGUAGAGAACUCUUGAAGAUCCUGUUUUCAUUUCCUUUGGGUAAUACACCCAGAACAGGGAUUUGUGGAUCAUUUGGUAGUUCUGUUUUUAGGAACCUCCAUGCUGGUUUCCAUAGAGGCUGUAUUGAUUGCAUUCCCACCAACAGUGCACAAAGAUUCCCUUUCCACGCUCUCACCAACACCUUGCUAUCUCUUGUCUUUUUGAUGAUAGCCAUUUUACCAGGUGUGAGGUCAUAUCUCAUUGUGGCUUUGAUUUACAUUUCCCUCUUAAUUAGUGAUAAUUGAGUACCUGUUCUUGUACUCGUUGAUCAUGUGUAUGUGUUCCUCUGCCUGUUUUUUAAUCAGACUAUUUGAAGGGAUUUUUUUUUUUUUGCUAUUGAGUUAUAGGACUUCCUUAUAUAUUUUGGAUAUUAAACUUUUAUCAUAAAUAUGGCCUGUAAUAUUUUCUCCAUUUUGUAGGUUGCCUUUUCAUUUUUGUUUUGCUGCGCAGAAGCUUUCUACUGUGAUGUAGUCUUACUGACUUUUGCUUUUGUUUAUUGUGUUUCUGGCAUCAUAUCCAGAAAACUGUUGCCUAGACCAGUGUCACAGCGAUUUAGCCCUGUGUUUUCUUCCUGGAGUUUUAUGGUUUGGAGUCUUCUUUUUAAGUCUUUAAUUCAUUUUGUGGUUAUCCAGUUUUCAUGCCACCUUUUAUGAAAGAGACCAUCCUUUCUCCAUUGAGUAUUUUCUGCUCCCUUGUCAAGUAUGAAUUGACCAUAUGUGCAAGGGUUUAUUUGUUCUCUGUUGUGUUGGUCUGUGUGACUGUUUCUGUGUCAGUACCAUACUACUGGUUUGAUUACUUUAGCUUUGUAGUAUAGUUUGAAAUCAGGGUUGUGAUACCUCUGGAUUUGUUCUUUCUUAGAAUUGCCUUGGCUUGUUGGAAUCUUUAGUGAGUUUAUGAAUUUAGGAUUAUUUUUUCUAUUUCUGUGAAAAAUGCCAUUGGAAUUUUUAUAGAGAUUUCAUUGAACCUAUAGAUAGUUUGGGGUAGUAUGGGCAUUUUAAUGUAUUAAUUUUUCUGAUCCAUGAAUAUGGGAUAUCUUUCCAUUUAUUUGUCUUUUUCACAUUUCUUUCAUCAAAAUCUUACAGUUUAGAGUGUAUUGAUAAUUCACUUCCUUGUUUAAAGUUAUUCCCAAGUAUGAUUUUGAUGUUGUUAUGUUUGUAGGGGGUAAUUUUUUAAAAUUUCUUUCUCAGAUAACUUGCUUUUAAUGUAAAGGAAUGUUACUGUAUUUUGUAUGUUGAUUUUUGUAUCUUGCGACUUUACCUAAUUUAUUUAUUAGUUCUAACAGUCUUUCAUGAAGUCUUUAAGAUUUUCUAUAUAUAAGAUCAUAUCUACAAACAAUUACCAUCUUAAUUCCUUUCUGAUUUGAAUGCCUUUUUUUCCCCUUGUGUGAUGCUUUCAUUAGGACUUCUAGUACUAUGUUGAAUAGAAACCAUGAGAAUGGGCAUCCUUGAAUUGUUCCUGAUCUUAGAGAAAAAGUUUCCAACCUUUACUGAGUAUAAUGUUACCUGUGACUUGUCAUAUAUGGUUUUUAUUAUGUUGAGGCAUAUUCGUUCUCUACCCAAUCUGUUGAGUUUUUGUCAAGAAAAGGUUGCUGAAUUUUGUCAAAUACUUUUCCUGCAUCUAUUGAGAUGAUUAUAUGAUUUUUAUUUUUCAUUUUAUUAAUUUGGUAUAUCACAUUUAUUGAUUUGGGUAUGUUGAACCAUACUUGCAUCCCAGGGAUGAAUCCCAACUGAAUCAUCGUGUGGGAUUUUACUAUGCUGUUGAAUUAAGUUUGCUAAUAUCUUGCUAAUAAUUUUUGCAUCUGCAUUCAUCAGGAAUAUUGACCUGCAGUUUUCUUUUCUUGUUACUAUUUUUAUCUGGCGUUCGCAUUACGUUAGUGCAGUCCUUGUGAAACAUGUUUGGAAUAUUCUCUUUAGUGUUUUAGAAGAGUUUGAGAAGGAUUGGCGUUAAUUCCUUUUUAAAUGUUUGGUAAAAUUCACUAGGGAAACCUUCUGGUUCUGGACUUUACUUUGUUGGCAGAAUUUUGAUUACCGACUCAAUCUCCUUAUUCCCUACUGGUCUAUUCAAACUUGCUAUUUUUUCAUGACUCAGUGUUGUUAGGUUGAUGUUUCUAGGAGUUCAUUCAUUUCUUCUAGGUUAUCCAAAUGGUUGGUGUAUAAUUAAUCUGCAGGGGUCUCAUGACCUUUUAUAUUUUUGUGGUAUUGGUUGUUAAGUCUCCUUUCUAGUUUCUGAUUUUUAAUCUUUCUUUUUUCUUGAGUUAGACUAGCCAUAUGUUGGUCAGUUUUGCUUAUCUUUUAAAAAAAUUACUCUUUUUUUUUAAUCUUUUUUUUAUUUUGUUUUUCUGGUCUCUUAUUUAUUUUUUUCCUGAUCUGUGUAUUUCAUUACUUCUGCUAACUUUGGACUUCAUUCGUUCAUUUUUUAGUUCGCUGGAGGUGAAAAGUUAGGUUGUUUGAGAUCUUUCUCGUUUCUUAAGGUCAGCUUUUAACACUGUAAACUUCCCACUUUGGGAAGAUGCUUUUGCUACAUCUCACAAGUUUUGGUAUCUUGUGUUUCCAUUUUUAGAGAUUUAAAAAAAUGUUUUUUAAAAUUUCUUCCUUCACCCAGUGGUUGUUGCGGGUCAUGUUGUUUAAUUUUACAUGUUUGUGAAUUUUUCAGUUUUCCUCUUAUAACUGAUUUGUAGUUUCAUACCAUUGUGGUGUUAAAGAUACUUGAUAAGAUUUUGGUCUUCUUAAAAUUUGCUGAGAGUUGUUUUGUGACCUGUCACAUGAUCUGUCCUGCAGAUUGUUACAUAUAUGCUUGAGAAGAACAUGUAUUCUGUUGCUUCUAUAUGGAAUGUUCUCUCUAUAUAUGUCAGGUCCAUUUGUCUGAAGUAUAGUUCAUUUUCCACAUUUCCUUAUUGAAAUGUCUGGAUAAUCUAGCCAUUGUUGAAAGUGGAUUACUGGAGUUCUCUUUUCUUGUUGUAUUACUGUUUAUUUCUGCCUUCAGAUUUGUUAGUAUUUGCUAAAUAUAUUGUAUUUCUCCGAUGUUGGGUGUAUAUAUAUUUAUGAUUGUUAUAUUCUCUUAAUGAAUUGACUUCUUUAUCAUCAUGUUAUGAUCUUUUUCAUCUUUUGCUAAUUGUUUUUGGCUUAUGGCAUAUUUUGUCUCAUAGAAGUAUAGCUAUCCCUGCUCUCUUUUGGUUUCUACUUGCAUGGAAUAUCUUUUUCCAGCCUUUCAUGUUGAGACUUUAUGUCCUUAAAAGUGAAAUGAGUUUCUUGUAGACAGUAUAUAGUUGGGUCUUAUGCAUCCAGCCACUCUAUGCCUUUUGAUUGGAGAAUUUAAUUCAUUUUAAUUUAGGAUAAUUAUUGAAAGGUAAGGACUUACUAAUGUUAUCUCUUUUCUGUUUUGUCAUUCCCUUGAUUUUUUUUCUUCCUCUCUUGCUGUCUUCCUUUUUGAAUUGAUUUCCUAUAGAGAUGUGCUCUGAUUCCUGUCUCUUUAUCUUUUGUGGAUCUACUUUAAGUUUUUACUUUGUGGUUACCAUGAAACUUACAUAAAACAUCUUAUAGAUAUAAUAGUCUGUUUUAUGCUAAUAAUGGCUUAUUUCAAUUGCAUACAAAAAUUCUAUCCUUUUACUCUGUUCUUAGGGUUUUGGUGUCACAAUUUACCUAUUUUUAUAUUGUGUGUUCAUUAACCAAUAUUAUAGCUAUUGUUAUUUUUUUAUGUUUAUUUUUGAGAGAGAGACAGACACAGUGUGAGUGGGAGAGGGGCAGAGAGAGAGGGAGACACAGAAUCCCAAGCAGGCUCCAGGCUCUGAGCUGUCAGCAGAGAGCCCGAUGCAGGGCUCAAACUCACGAACCGUGAGAUGAUGACCUGAGCUGAAGUUGGACGCUUAGCCAACAACCACCCAGGCACCCCCUGUAGCUUAUUGUUAUUUUUAAUACUCUUGCCCGUUAACCUUUAACCUUCCGUAACCUGAAGUUAUGUGGUGAACACACCACCAUAUUACAGCCCUAGCAUAUUUUGAAUUUAACUAUAUACUUGAAUUUUCCAGUUUAUUGGAUAGUUUCCUAUGUUUUCUUGUACUGUGGAUUCUUUCAUUUCAACUUGGAUUCUUUCAGCUUUUGUUUGUCCAGGAUAGUCGUUAUCUCUCCUUCAUUUCUGAAAGACAGCUUUGUUGGAUACAGUAUUCUUGGUUGGAGGUUUUUUCUUUUCAUAUCCUCCUAUUCUCUCUAAACCUGUAAAGUUUCUGCUGAGUAAUCUGCUGAUAGCCUUAUUGGAAUUCCCUUGUCAGUUGCAAGUUUCUUUUCUCUUGCUGUGUUUAAAAUUCUGUCUUUGUCUUUGAUUUUUGACAGUUUUAUUAUGUGUCUUGAAGGAGAUUUCUUUGAAUUGAAUUUGUUUGGGGACCUAUAACCUUCAUCAACUUGGAUAUCCACGUCUCUCCCCCAGAUGUGGGAAGUGCUCAGCUAUGAUUUCUUUAAAUAGGCUAUCUGCUCCUUUCUUCCUCUUGUCUCCUUCCAGGAUUCCAGUGAUUUACAGAGUGUCGUGGGGUUUUUUUGUUUUUUGAAUGUAUGUCAUAGGUAAUGUAGGCUUUUUUCACUCUCUUUCAUUCUUUUCCUUUGUUCUUCUCUGACUAAUUUCAAAGUUUCUGUUUUCUGACUUGCAGAUUCUUUCUUCUGCUUGAUUCCUUCUAACUUUGAUCCUCCCUUCUAAAGUUUUAUUUUAUUCAUUGUAUUCUUCAGCUGCAGAGUUUCUGGGGCUUUUUGGUAAAUGACUUAUAUCUUUUUGUUAAACUUCCCAUUUUGUUCAUACAUUGUUUUCCUGGUUUAGUUGAGUUUUCUUUUUUUCUUUCUUUCUUUUUUUUUUUUUU